GAAUUCACUAGUGAUUGUGGCAGGGGCGGCGGUAAUACGUAGGGUGCGAGCGUUAAUCGGAAUUACUGGGCGUAAAGCGUGCGCAGGCGGUUUUGUAAGUCAGAUGUGAAAUCCCCGAGCUCAACUUGGGAACUGCGUUUGAAACUACAAGACUAGAAUAGGUCAGAGGGGGGUAGAAUUCCACGUGUAGCAGUGAAAUGCGUAGAGAUGUGGAGGAAUAUCAAUGGCGAAGGCAGCCCCCUGGGAUCAUAUUGACGCUCAUGCACGAAAGCGUGGGGAGCAAACAGGAUUAGAUGCCCUGGUAGUCCACGCCCUAAACGAUGUCAACUAGUUGUUGGUAGAGUAAAAUCUAUGAGUAACGCAGCUAACGCGUGAAGUUGACCGCCUGGGGAGUACGAUCGCAAGAUUAAAACUCAAAUGAAUUGACGGGGGCCCGCACAAGCGGUGGAUUAUGUGGAUUAAUUCGAUGCAACGCGAAAAACCUUACCUGGCCUUGACAUGUACGGAACUUUCCAGAGAUGGAUUGGUACUCGAAAGAGAACCGUAACACAGGUGCUGCAUGGCUGUCGUCAGCUCGUGUCGUGAGAUGUUGGGUUAAGUCCCGCAACGAGCGCAACCCUUGCCAAUAAUUGCCAUCAUUUAGUUGGGCACUUUAUUGAGACUGCCGAUGACAAAUCGGAGGAAGGUGGGGAUGACGUCAAGUCCUCAUGGCCCUUAUGGCCAGGGCUUCACACGUAAUACAAUGGUCGGUACAGAGGGUUGCCAAGCCGCAAGGUGGAGCCAAUCCCAGAAAGCCGAUCGUAGUCCGGAUUGAGGUCUGCAACUCGACCUCAUGAAGUCGGAAUCGCUAGUAAUCGCGGAUCAGCAUGUCGCGGUGAAUACGUUCCCGGGCCUUGUACACACCGCCCGUCACACCAUGGGAGUGGGUUUUACCAGAAGUAGGUAGUCUAACCGCAAGGAGGACGCUUACCACGGUAGUAUUCAUGACUGGGGUGAAGUCGUAACAAGGUAACCAAUCGAAUUCCCGCGGCCGCCA
rnacentral:rRNA from 1 species